rnacentral:rRNA from 1 species
UCCACGCAGUAAACGAUGAAUGUUAGUCGUUGGGUAGCUAGUCUAUUCAGUGAUGCAGUUAACACAUUAAACAUUCCGCCUGGGGAGUACGGUCGCAAGAUUAAAACUCAAAGGAAUAGACGGGGACCCGCACAAGUGGUGGAGCAUGUGGUUUAAUUCGAAAAUACGCGAAGAACCUUACCUAGCCUUGACAUAUUUGAAAAUCCACCAGAGAUGGAGGAGUGCCUUCGGGAGUUCAUUUACAGGUGCUGCACGGCUGUCGUCAGCUCGUGUCGUGAGAUGUUGGGUUAAUCCCG